GGGGUCGGCCGGGCGAUCGCGGGCGGUUCGCCGCCCGAGGAAAGUCCGCGCUCCACCGAGCACGGUGCCGGGCAACACCCGGGCGGGGAGACCCGCGGAUAGGGCCACAGAAAACGACCGCCCCGGACACGCUCCGGGGUCAGGGUGAAAAGGUGGUGCAAGAGACCACCGGCGUCGGCAGCAAUGCCGGCGGCCAGGCAACCCCCACCGGGAGCAAGGCCAAGCAGGGGCGAAGCCCGGCGACGGGCGGGGGGCUGCUCGUCCCCCUCGAGCCCCGGGUAGGCUGCUGGAGCUCCGCGGCGACGCGUGAGCCGAGAGAGAUGAUCGCCCCUCGCCGGCGGGCGGGAAGAAGGGUCUUCCCGUAAACCGCCCGCCGACGCGGACAGAACGCGGCUUAUAGGCCGGCCCAGGCU
rnacentral:RNase_P_RNA from 2 species